GAAUACAUGGCCAUGGUUUGCAAUUUUGAAACCGUGGCCUCAUCAUUUUAACUCAAUUUUCCACGCGGCGACGCGAUUCCAUCAUUUGUGCUAAAAGAGAAAUGAAAGUCAAGAAGGGGAAAAAAAAAUCAAAAAUCAAAAAAGAAAAAAGAAAAAGGAUAAAAUAAAAACAACUCUAAAUUAACUACUGCUUCUACUUCUGUUCCGGGACUGCUUCUGUCCUCUGCUUCUGUUCUCUGCUACUGAUUGAUCACCCGUUUCCAGAGUACUACCCAUUGAUUUGCAUGGCUGCUUCCUCAUUCUACUACAAACCCUCUUCAUUAUCUUUCUUUCUUUUUUCCUCUUCUUUAUACUCAUCUGUAAUGUGUUUGCCUAUUCACUGUAAUGAAUUUCUUUCCAUGUCCUUCUUCUUUCGUCACCACAACAUUGUCGGGGACACCACGUCUUGGCGUCCAUGCGGACGCCAAGACACGACUUUUAGUGGGAAUAUGGCUUGGCAUGUUCCUGCCUCCAAUAAACAUGAGCACA
rnacentral:sRNA from 1 species